GGACCAUCACUCCAUUUCCCAACUCGUCCCAGCUAUAUUCUUAUUUCCUGAAGAGAACAAUGAAAGAAAGGGUGAGCUCAACUAGCCCAGUAAGAAAUAUUAUGACUAAGAUAAUGCAGAAUAAAUUAUCCUUAGCCAUCAACAAUAUAACAACUGAUAGAAUACAAUAGACAACAAGUUUUAGAUCAACAACUGCAGCGGAAAUAAGCAAUCCAUUAGAAGAGUCAAGUAGAG
rnacentral:lncRNA from 1 species